GAAGGCAGCAGUGGGAAUCUUGCGCAAUGGGCGAAAGCCUGACGCAGCCAUGCCGCGUGAAUGAUGAAGGUCUUAGGAUUGUAAAGUUCUUUCGCCUGUGACGAUGAUGACGGUAACAGGAGAAGAAGCCCCGGCUAACUUCGUGCCAGCAGCCGCGGUAAUACGAAGGGGGCUAGCGUUGUUCGGAAUUACUGGGCGUAAAGCGCGCGUAGGCGGCUUUGCAAGCCAGAGGUGAAAUGCCUGAGCUCAACUUAGGAAUUGCCUUCGGGACUGCGAGGCUUCGAGGACUGGAGAGGUGAGUGGAAUUCCCAGUGUAGAGGUGAAAUUCGUAGAUAUUGGGAAGAACACCAGUGGCGAAGGCGGCUCACUGGCCAGUUUCUGACGCUAAAGUGCGAAAGCGUGGGGAUCAAACAGGAUUAGAUACCCUGGUAGUCCACGCUGUAAACGAUGAGUGCUAGGCGUCGGCACGCUUGCGUGUCGGUGCCGCAGCUAACGCGUGAAGCACUCCGCUGGGAGUACGUCGCAAGAUUAAACUAAGGAAUGACGGGGCCGCAGCGUGAGCUGUGGUUAUUCGACGCACGCGCAGACUUACAGCUU
rnacentral:rRNA from 1 species